UCUCUUUAGUGCUCCGCCCCCUUUCAGCCUCCUCUCAAACCGUGCACGGUGUCGCAGCCCCCCCCUCAGAGACAGGAAGUGAUCAAUAACUCUGAGAUCCUUCAGGGCCCAGAGGAGGCUCUCAACCCGCCGAUGUUCCCCCAAAACCCCACCAGCUCCCCCGUGUCAUCGUCCCCCAAACCCGACGCCUCGGAGCUGUACCUGCGCUCCAGAGCUCUGCUGGAGAGCAAGCCGGCUCACACCAAGGACCUGGAUGUUUUCAUCAAGAGGAACCAGGAGUCAGGAUUUGGAUUCAGAGUCCUCGGAGGGGAAGGGCCCGACCAGCCGGUACGUGCCACAGACUAGUGUUCAUUUCUUUGACUAAAACUA